rnacentral:lncRNA from 1 species
UGAGGCUUUGGCUGAACGGCUCUCACUGCUUUGUGAGAGGGACAGGAAGAGGCUGCUGGAUUUGUCAGAUCCUGCCAAACAGCAGGGGACGGGAGGAUUUUGGUGUGUUUUUGCUGUACCUCCUGGUUAAUUUCUCCUUGGACUGCCUGGGGGACACUUGUGCAUACACACUUCUUGCAGCACGGCAUCCUGAGCACAGGAUUUAAAAGAGCAAUGCAACUGAAGACAGUUUCUGUAACAAAUGAAAUGCAGAGGCCACACAGGACACCAGGGAUUUUAAAGGCAAGACAGGUGGCAUUUGAGGAAUGGGACAACAUGUGGGGAAGGCACCUGGGUACCCGUAUUCCUCCUGCCCAGCAAUCACCCUGAAUACACAGUUUAUUCUCAGUUUAUUUUCAAAUCCCAAAACAUUUUCAGGCCAGCAAAAGCCAAAUGCUGUCAGAAAAACUUGCCAGACCAGCAAAAUGCUUCACAGGGUUAAAAAAGCAAUACGCAGGCAAAGUCUUUUUUUUUUUUUUAAUUAUUUUAUUUCUUCCAGUACAAAACUGCAUGUUGGGAAGAAGCAAGUUUCCCAGCCCUGGGUGGAUCUUCUUGUGGGGAGACCUGCGAGGUUUGGCUUUGUAAAGCUCCUGUCCAACUUCUAAAUACGACUUCUGUGUUUUCCUGUGUUUCUCUAAGGCAGGUAACACCCCUCUGCACCUGGCUUGCCAGAACAGCCAUUCCCAGAGCACUCGUGUUUUGUUACUUGGAGGAUCCCGAGCAGACCUCAAAAACAAUGCAGGAGAUACCUGUCUGCAUGUGGCUGCUCGUUAUAAUCACUUGCCCAUCGUUAGGGUGCUGCUCAGUGCUUUCUGUUCUGUCCAUGAAAAGAACCAGGUCAGUGCAUGAACCUCAUUGCGACUCUGCGCCCCUCACACGAUUUUCUCGUUGGAAAGAGAGGUUCCCACCCAGCAACCCCACUUCCCUGUGUGGCUCACUGUGCUGCCAAGUGCCUCGGCUUCCCAGGGUAGCUUUAAAGCCAUGGCAUAUCAGUGGUUUAUUAUUUUCCCAUCACAUUUGCAUCUUUUCUUUAAAACAUUUCCUAUUUAUGAGGCGCUGCAAAGCUGUGUUGGUGCACAAAGGGGUCUGGGGAGAGAGCAAUGGGUCUGGGAGAGAGGCUUGGUCAUUUUUUGGGGCCUGUUUUCUCCUCCAUCACUGGGUGGUAACGAUAUCACAGGGGCACUGUGAUGCAGGGCUCACUCAUGCUCAUAUGCUGCAGAAGUGCAAAUUUCUCUGGAAUCCUGCAUUUUGCAGUAGUGGGAAUAAAAAUACAGAAAAAUAGGAAAAAAUAUGCUUUAAAUUCAAAGCAAUGAUCAGUUUAACCUAGGAUUAAUCAUCAUGGUUGUUAUAUAGGGAAGAGAUUGCUUGCUGUACCUGUAGCACAGCCUAAUUGUGUGGAAUGGAUUUAGUGCAGUAAAACAUCUUUUUGCACAGGGGGGCACCACUUUCCCUCUUUUUUUU